rnacentral:rRNA from 1 species
GAUGAACGCUGGCGGCGUGCCUAAUACAUGCAAGUCGAGCGAACGGACGAGAAGCUUGCUUCUCUGAUGUUAGCGGCGGACGGGUGAGUAACACGUGGAUAACCUACCUAUAAGACUGGGAUAACUUCGGGAAACCGGAGCUAAUACCGGAUAAUAUUUUGAACCGCAUGGUUCAAAAGUGAAAGACGGUCUUGCUGUCACUUAUAGAUGGAUCCGCGCUGCAUUAGCUAGUUGGUAAGGUAACGGCUUACCAAGGCAACGAUGCAUAGCCGACCUGAGAGGGUGAUCGGCCACACUGGAACUGAGACACGGUCCAGACUCCUACGGGAGGCAGCAGUAGGGAAUAUUCCGCAAUGGGCGAAAGCCUGACGGAGCAACGCCGCGUGAGUGAUGAAGGUCUUCGGAUCGUAAAACUCUGUUAUUGGGAAAGAAAAUCUGUGUAAGUAACUGUGCACAUCUUGACGGUACCUAAUCAGAAAGCCACGGCUAACUACGUG